rnacentral:rRNA from 1 species
UACGGGGGGGGCAAGCGUUGUUCGGAAUCACUGGGCGUAAAGGGUGCGUAGGCGGGUCUUUUAAGUCAGGGGUGAAAUCCUGGAGCUCAACUCCAGAACUGCCUUUGAUACUGAAGAUCUUGAGUUCGGGAGAGGUGAGUGGAACUGCGAGUGUAGAGGUGAAAUUCGUAGAUAUUCGCAAGAACACCAGUGGCGAAGGCGGCUCACUGGCCCGAUACUGACGCUGAGGCACGAAAGCGUGGGGAGCAAACAGG